rnacentral:rRNA from 1 species
GACGAACGCUGGCGGCGUGCUUAACACAUGCAAGUCGAACGGUGAAGCGCCUUCCUUUUUGGUGGGUGUGGAUGAGUGGCGAACGGGUGAGUAACACGUGAGUAACCUGCCCCCUUCUUCUGGAUAACCGCAUGAAAGUGUGGCUAAUACGGGAUAUUCUGGGUCUGUCGCAUGAUGGGUCUGGGGAAGGUAUUGUUUCGGUGGGGGAUGGGCGCGCGGCCUAUCAGCUUGUUGGGGGGGUGAUGGCCUACCAAGGCGGUGACGGGUAGCCGGCCUGGGGGGGUGGACGGUCACAUCGGGAAUGAGACACGACCAAGACUGCUACGGGAGGCAGCAGAGGGGCAUAUUGGACGAAGGGGGGAAGACUGAUGCAGCGACGGCGCGUGCGGGAUGGAGGCAUUCGGGUUGUGAAACUCUUUCGCCAGUGAAGCAGGCCUGCCUCGUUUGUGAGUGGGUUGACGGUAGCUGGAUAAGAAGCGCCGGCUAACUACGUG